AGAAAAGUUACAAUAUCUCAUAUGCCAUAUUUCCAAAAACAGUGAAUAUCCUACAAUUAAGAGUUAUGAGAGAAAAUUUAACUGUUUAAUUCAAGAAAUUCCUAUCAAGCUAUCUUUCUCAUUUAUAACAGUCUUUGUUAGCCUUUCAUGUAAUUAAUCUUUCCCACACAAUAUGUGCUUUCAAUUUAUAUUCCUCACUAGAUACGAUUACAUUAUUCCCAAGAAACAGGAAGUUUUCAAAUUAAAAACAUGCACAGGAUGGAAACAUAACCCACAUCAAAUAUUCUCCUAGAGUUCAGAAACCCUAAAAAGUCCAAUAAAACUCAAUUGUUUCUUGUUCUUGCUCAGCCAUGGACAGCUCCUGUAUUCUACUCAAUCUGCUGGUUACUUUGCUCAUUAUAGCCUACUUUCCAUGUCCUUGGUCUCGAGUUCAUACACUCGAAUUUGCAUUUUGGCACAGCUUCACAGAGGAACUUAGGAGCUGUGGUUAAGUCUGCCCAUUUUUUUUUUUAUUUUUUUUUUUUUUGCUCUUGGAAGCACGUCAUUUGUCUUUCAGCUAUCCUGAAUAGCCUGAGGUAAAAGACACCUCAAAAGAGGAUGAAAACUAGUCACCCUGCCGAGAGAGUCAGCAGCAAGCUGUGCAGAUGGGCUGACACCUUCCGGGCUGAAUGCAUUCUUAAGUCUUUUUGUGAAGUCACCUUGGCACACCCACCCAGCCUAGUAGGGAGUGCUUAGUGACAGUCAGGAGAUUCUACAUUGUGACAGGUAAACAGACAUGCCUGUGGAUUUUCAAAAAAAAUAUGUCUUUGUAUUACUUUAUUCAUUCUCUGCAUCUUUAAAGAUAGACACAAGAGCCAUCACGCUUUCCGCAGCUUCUAUGAAGGACCAAGUGCAAGCAAUGAAGAACCUGAGAGCUCCUCUAUGUUUUGGGGACCCACACCAUUAGUACAUACAACUAGUUAAGCUUAAACCAUACUUAAAAAGGUGAAUUAAAUAGGUGAGGCUAUAAAAAAACCAAAACAUCAGUAAAUGCACUUAGCCAUCUGUUUCCUUGCUCAGUUUCCUCUACUAAUAAAAAUUUUAAAAAUAGUACA
rnacentral:lncRNA from 1 species